GAUUUGACGGCUUUGAUUUCGAAUGGUAUUUUGAAAAGAGCCCUAACGAUCUCUCUUCCUCUCGCCUCGAAGAUUCACUCAAGGUAUCAUUCGCUGUCUUCUCUUUGCCAAGCUCUUCUCAAACCUUUCUUCCGAAAUUCUUUAUUUGAUCUUCUUUUUCAAGUACGUUUUGUGGUUUCUCUGAGCGAGACGGCCAGGCGAGUAGGUCGGGCUUUAUCCAAUAUUUGGUAUCAGUGAUUUCAGUUGCAGGUCCAAGUAGCGUAUUUGUUCUCGACAAGGACUUAUCCAGCCAUGCCUGGCACAUGAAAAUGAAUGAGCUGGAGCUGUACCUGAAGCUUGCUACAGAUCCAUUUAUCACACUAAAGUAGUGGAACAAUGACAUUCUGUACCAGCGCACCAGUACUCUCUAUCCACCACUGAGCUCAAGCAGUCUAAAAGAUAGGUGUCUUUUAACUCUAACAGACACAGUGCCAGUGAUGUUUGACAAGCACCAUAUUCCCUGAUAUCCUAUGAGAUGGCAUGAGGUCAUUUCCUUGCUUCAACUGGAGACAUACUUGGUGAUCUCACACUCCUGCUUUUGAGCUCAUGGAAUCACUUUAAAGCAUUAGGUGAGCUGCUAGGUUCAUGCACUUCAGGCAUGCGGCUGAGCACUUCCUUUGAUCCCCAGAGCAAAGAUUGGAUGGAGGCAAGUCAAAAGGUUAUGGUGGAUCCAGAUGCACCAAGCCCCAGUAAUCCAACAAAGAGGGAGCAUCUUCAUUGGU